GCCGCCCUAGCUCAGUCGGUAGAGCAAUUCACUCGUAAUGAAUAGGUCAGGGGUUCGAUUCCCCUGGGCGGCUCCA
rnacentral:tRNA from 52 species